rnacentral:rRNA from 1 species
UACAGAGGGUGCAAGCGUUUGUUCGGAAUUACUGGGCGUAAAGCGCGUGUAGGCGGCGUCGUUAGUCGGAUGUGAAAGCCCUCGGCUCAACCGAGGAAGUGCAUCCGAUACUGCGAUGCUUGAGUGUUGGAGGGGGUGGCGGAAUUCCCGGUGUAGAGGUGAAAUUCGUAGAUAUCGGGAGGAACACCUGUGGCGAAGGCGGCCACCUGGACAACAACUGACGCUGAGACGCGAAAGCGUGGGUAGCAAACAGG